GGCCCUUUAACUCAGUGGUUAGAGCAGGCGACUCAUAAUCGCUUGGUCGUUGGUUCAAACCCAACAGGGGCCACCA
rnacentral:tRNA from 1 species